rnacentral:SRP_RNA from 1 species
CCUGGUUGUAGUGGUGCAUACCUGGAAACCCUUCUCUGGGGAGGCUAAGGCUAGUGGAUCUCUUGUGCUUAGGUAUUCUGAGCUGCAGAAGGUUAAGCCAAUCAUGUACCUGCACCAAGAUUGGUACUAAUAGAAAUUAAGCCAUUAGGAGCAGAGGGCCACCAAGUAGCCUAAGGAGGGAUGAACCAGCCCAAGUCAGAAAUGGAGCAGGUCAAAAUUCCUAUGUCGAUCAGAAUGGGACCUGGACUGUGAGUAGCCUCUGUAUUUCCAGCCUGGGAGAGUUAGGGAGAUCCAGUCUUAU